UCCUCGUUAGUAUAGUGGUGAGUAUCCCCGCCUGUCACGUGGGAGACCGGGGUUCGAUUCCCUGACGGGGAG
rnacentral:tRNA from 1 species